UAUACAUGACUCUGCGCAUAUCAAUAAGCGGAGGAAAAGAAACUAACAAGGAUUCCCUUAGUAACGGCGAGUGAAGCGGGAAGAGCUCAAAUUUGAAAUCUUCAAGGUUUUACCUUGACGAAUUGUAGUUUAAAGAAGUGUUUUCUGCUGAAGUUUUGGUAAAAGUUCUUUGGAAUAGGACAUCAUAGAGGGUGAGAAUCCCGUAUUUGACCAUUAUUUUCAGCUUUGUGAUACACUUUCAAAGAGUCGGAUUGUUUGGGAAUGCAGUCCAAAAUGGGUGGUAAAUUUCAUCUAAAGCUAAAUAUUGGCGAGAGACCGAUAGCGAACAAGUACCGCGAGGGAAAGAUGAAAAGAACUUUGAAAAGAGAGUUAAACAGUACGUGAAAUUGUCAAAAGGGAAGCGUUUGACACCAGUGUUGUUUUCUCGAAAAUCAAUUAAAAAUGGCUCGAUUUUGUAUUGCUUGAGACCUUAAAAGCUCACUGUACAUUUUUCGUGUCUUUUUUAAUGCACUUUUCGUUUAACAAGUCAACAUCAGUUUCUUUUGUUGUAAAAGGGUCAUUGGAAGGUGGCUUUCUUUUCGGAGAAAGUGUUUAUAGCCUUUGGCCUCUGCAAUCGGAGAGACUGAGGUCUGCAGCGUAGACUCUUCGGGGUUAGAUACAUUUGUGCUAAGUUAUAGCUUUUUAUAGACAACUUGUUGACUAUAAUUAGUCUUGUAGCUUACUCGCUUAUGCUAUUUUACCUACGCUUAGGAUGUUGAAGAUGUAGCACAUCAU
rnacentral:rRNA from 1 species